CCAGACUCCUACGGGAGGCAGCAGUGAGGAAUAUUGGUCAAUGGACGAGAGUCUGAACCAGCCAAGUAGCGUGAAGGAUGACUGCCCUAUGGGUUGUAAACUUCUUUUAUAAAGGAAUAAAACGAGGCACGUGUGCCUUUUUGCAUGUACUUUAUGAAUAAGGAUCGGCUAACUCCGUGCCAGCAGCCGCGGUAAUACGGAGGAUCCGAGCGUUAUCCGGAUUUAUUGGGUUUAAAGGGAGCGUAGAUGGGUUGUUAAGUCAGUUGUGAAAGUUUGCGGCUCAACCGUAAAAUUGCAAUUGAUACUGGCAGUCUUGAGUACAGUUGAGGUAGGCGGAAUUCGUGGUGUAGCGGUGAAAUGCGUAGAUAUCAGGAGGAACACCGGUGGCGAAGGCGGCUUACUGGACCAUAACUGACGUUGAGGCUCGAAAGCGUGGGGAGCGAACAGGAUUAGAUACCCCAGUA
rnacentral:rRNA from 1 species